GUUAUGGUGCUGGAGCUGGUGUGUCCAAUGGACAAGGAGCUAAUGGUUAUGGAAAUGGAUCACCUCAACCUCAAAAUACUAAAGGUGUCGGAGCACGCGCACCCAUUGGAGGAACUAAAGCGUCAAAUGGAGGAGCUAAAGCACCAAAUGGUGGUAAGCAUUCACUAUUAAAAACUGAGAUUGUGUAAAUGUUAAGAACUGCGCACUGUAUGUUUGAACAUUUGUAUUAUUUAAAAUAAAACAUUUGCUCACUCUAUCCGAUGUUUGUCAUUUUCCAAUGUUUUGUCAAUUGCCACUUUGAUCUUGUUGGUUAUUAUGUUGGUCAUAAGCAAUGUAUAUUGUAAUGCGCACUGGAUUUGUGAGUCAGUAUUUUUAACUCUUGUGGUUCCUAGGGUAUGGUGUUCCUGCUGGUGUACCCAAUGGACAUUUGGCUGAAGUAGUCAAUACUGGUAAAUGCUCCAUGUUGUCUGAUUGUGGCCUCAGCUUUUCCGUCUUAACCAGUUUGAGUCCAUUUUGUUCUGUAUGGUUGAGUUUAUCUUGUAUGUGGUUUGUCUCAGCAUGUCUUACAAUAUGUGUCUUCUAAUCUAAUGUGGGUGAAACUAGUAGUAUGGUGUUUAAAGCAUGUUUUCAUGUUCUUCUUGCAUGUUGUAAUUUGUGUCAAUCGGUCUGUACUGAACAGUUUGUCUAUAUAUGUGGUUUGUCUCAGAGUAAAUGUACUAAGGUAUUAUGGUGCAUGUGUUUAAUUUUAUAAGCAAUAAUUGAGCAGUAUUGCGUUUCAGAUUUCAAGCAUGUCUUCCUGUUCUACUUAUGCAUGUGCUGUAUGUCUAUCGUGGUUUGUGUUAAUCGGUAAGACGUCCCCUGUUUGUUUUAUCUCCUAAAUUAUCGUGUCAAGAUAAUGUCAUACUGCAUGUUUCACUGUUGCACUUUUUCACUGAUUUAGUUAUCUUUUUAGUUGGUACAAAGUUACUGUGUUUUGGUUCCCAGGUUAUGGCAUGCCAAAUGGAUACAGCAUGUCAAAUGGUCAGGGUACUAAAGGUGUUGGUGCACCGAAUGGAAAGGGCCCCAAAGGUGAAGCUCUUACUCCUGAAGCACUAAGCCUUGCACCAGCACCCGAGCCAGGACUUGUAGUACCUGAGCCAACAAAGGGUGUAGCUCUAAUCGUUCCACAAGGGAAGACAUACCCUAAGCCAGCACCAGUUCCACAAGGGAAGCUUUUCCCUAAGCCAGUACCUAUAGUACCACAGACAAAGAGUCCAAAGACAGUACCAGAGCCAGCAAUGGUUCCACAAGGGAAGACAUACUCUAAGCCCGCACUAGAGCCAGCAAUGGUUCCACAAGAGAAGACAUAUGCUAAGCCAGCACCAAAGCUAGCACCUGUCAUUCCACAAGGAAAGCCGUGCCCUAACAAAGCACGGGAGGCAGCACCAGUUCCACAUGGGAAGACAUACCAAAAGCCAGCCCCAAAGCCAGCAGCUGUAGUACCACAGGCAAAGAGUCCGAAGACGGCACCAGUUCCACAAGGGAAGCCGUACCCAGAGCCAGCACCUGUCGUUUCACAAUGGAAGCCGUACCUUAUGCCAGCACCUGUGGUUCCACAAGGAAAGAUGUACCCUAAACUAGCACCAGUGCCAGCAUCACAGGCAAAAAGUCCAAAGCCAGUGGCAUCAGCCGUGCCUCAAGGAAAGCAUCCCAAAGUACCAAACAUGGGUUACGGAGGAGGAACUGGUGUAAACGGAGGUGGUGCCCCCAAUGGCUAUGGCGCGAAACCCAAUGGUUACGGUGUCGGAGCCAGUGCACCAAACGGACGUGGAGCAAACCCCAAUGGUAAAUCUACUCUGUCUUGUGUGCUUUUAAGCCUAAACAAAACGUUUGUCAUUUCAUGGUGGUAUCAGGUUUUCCAGUGCAAUUAG
rnacentral:lncRNA from 8 species